AUUGAACGCUGGCGGCAUGCUUUACACAUGCAAGUCGAACGGUAACAGGCCUUCGGGUGCUGACGAGUGGCGAACGGGUGAGUAAUGCAUCGGAACGUGCCCAGAGGUGGGGGAUAACGCAGCGAAAGCUGUGCUAAUACCGCAUGUGAUCUGAGGAUGAAAGCGGGGGACCAAGCAGCAAUGUUUGGCCUCGCGCCUCUGGAGCGGCCGAUGUCAGAUUAGGUAGUUGGUGGGGUAAAGGCCACCAAGCCGACGAUCUGUAGCUGGUCUGAGAGGACGACCAGCCACACUGGGACUGAGACACGGCCCAGACUCCUACGGGAGGCAGCAGUGGGGAAUUUUGGACAAUGGGCGCAAGCCUGAUCCAGCAAUGCCGCGUGCGGGAAGAAGGCCUUCGGGUUGUAAACCGCUUUUGUACGGAACGAAAAGGCUCUGGCUAAUACCUGGGGCUGAUGACGGUACCGUAAGAAUAAGCACCGGCUAACUACGUG
rnacentral:rRNA from 1 species